rnacentral:rRNA from 1 species
AAUAGAUACCCAGGUAGUCCACGCCGUAAACGAUGUCGACUUGGAGGUUGUUCCCUUGAGGAGUGGGCUUCCGGAGCUAACGCGUUAAGUCGACCGCCUGGGGAGUACGGCCGCAAGGUUAAAACUCAAAUGAAUUGACGGGGGCCCGCACAAGCGGUGGAGCAUGUGGUUUAAUUCGAUGCAACGCGAAGAACCUUACCUACUCUUGACAUCCAGAGAACUUAGCAGAGAUGCUUUGGUGCCUUCGGGAACUCUGAGACAGGUGCUGCAUGGCUGUCGUCAGCUCGUGUUGUGAAAUGUUGGGUUAAGUCCCGCAACGAGCGCAACCCUUAUCCUUUGUUGCCAGCGGUCCGGCCGGGAACUCAAAGGAGACUGCCAGUGAUAAACUGGAGGAAGGUGGGGAUGACGUCAAGUCAUCAUGGCCCUUACGAGUAGGGCUACACACGUGCUACAAUGGCGCAUACAAAGAGAAGCGACCUCGCGAGAGCAAGCGGACCUCAUAAAGUGCGUCGUAGUCCGGA